rnacentral:rRNA from 1 species
UACGUAGGGAGCAAGCGUUGUCCGGAAUCAUCGGGCGUAAAGCGCGCGUAGGUGGCUUCGUAAGUCCGUUGUGAAAGUCAAAGGCUCAACCUUUGAAAGCCGAUGGAUACUGCGGAGCUAGAGUACGGAAGAGGCGAGUGGAAUUCCUGGUGUAGCGGUGGAAUGCGCAGAUAUCAGGAGGAACACCAAUAGCGAAGGCAGCUCGCUGGGACGUUACUGACACUGAGACACGAAGGCCAGGGGAGCAAACGGG